AAUCACAGAGAUCGUUCGCCCCCGCUCACACACACAUUGGCUGUCGUCUUCUUCGUUGGUGUUCGUCUCCUUUUCUCGUAUUGAAGUUAGUUUGAGUCGACAAAUCAGCAGCUAAUUUGUUAUUACUAUGAACUACUGGGCUGAAGAGGGAGCAGAAGUUUAAAUAAAUUUAAUU